AAUUCCUCAGCCUGCUAGAGGCCCUUCUCUGGGGACUUCUGGUUUUUUUUUCUUUCCCUGUUCUGUUUAUGCGGUUAUAAUUUAAUAUUAGUAAAAACAGUCCUACUGCAGGGUCUCCUGAGCCCAAGAGCAUGGCUGCAACGGCAAACAGCUCAGCUAGGGUGCCAGCAGCAUCACGUGGAGAUGGCACUGGAGGGCUCUCACUGUUUGUGAAAGGAUAUUUCACCAAAGGAGCUGAGCUUGGCUGGAAGAAGAAUCCCACGUCCUUUGGCUUCGCGGGUCAGCUCACUGAUUGGUACGAAUGGCACUUCUCUGUCAGCUCCAGCAACGUCUGUCACCCCAGGAUGUGCUCCCCUGCUGGGCUGCAGCUUACAAGGUUGGCAACAGAGCAAGUGGGAAGACCUCUUAACAUUCUGUAUGAAGCUGGGAGCAAACGGAGCACAAGAGAACCAAAAAUCUCAAAUAGGGCAAAGAUUUUCAGACGUGUUUAAGUGGCAUUAUAUGAGCUGCGGUUCAUUUUUGCUCUUAAAACUUUGAUACAGCUGUAAUAUUUCUUUCAACUCCCAAAGACAAAUUACAGC
rnacentral:lncRNA from 7 species